rnacentral:lncRNA from 1 species
CUCUCGAGAUACACUCGCGUUAGGCACCGACUGGCUGUUCCCGGCGCGCGUCCUCUGAGUCCGAUAGAGGAGGCAUCUCCCCACCCCACCCCACACAAACACCUAGACCUAGUCACUCUCAGCUUUCUGUAACCAGAGCUGGAGCAGAGGGGAAGCAAUGAUCCUGUCUAGAGAUUCCUGGAAGUUUUAGAUGAAGCUUGUUCAACCCGCGGUCCGGCACACGAUUCGUAAACUUUCUUAAAACAUUGUGUCUUUUUGUGUGAUUUUUUUCUUUUUGUAACGCAAUUGCGCGGUUCUCCAGCGCGAACUUUGUAGGCAACAACGGAACGGCAUGGAAUAAUAUCAGAGUAUUAUCCGUAAUUCGCAUUAUAAUUGCAAACAGUUCGUCCAGAAGAAACGGAAAACUGUUAAAAUUCACUAAUAAUGGGGCCAGGCGCGAUGGCUCACUCCUGUAAUCCCAGCACUUUGGGUAUGGGAGGCCGAGGCGGCGGAUCACCUGAGGUCAGGAGUUCGAGACCAGACUGGCCAACAUGGUGAAACCG